rnacentral:rRNA from 1 species
GACGAACGCUGGCGGCGUGCUUAACACAUGCAAGUCGAGCGAUGAAGCACCUUCGGGUGUGGAUUAGCGGCGAACGGGUGAGGAACACGUGAGGAAUCUGCCUUCCACUCUGGGAUAACUCCGGGAAACCGGGGCUAAUACCGGAUACUUUCAACUGGCGGCAUCGCCGGUUGAAGAAAGUUUUUCGGUGGAAGACGACCUCGCGGCCUAUCAGCUUGUUGGUGAGGUAAUGGCUCACCAAGGCGACGACGGGUAGCCGGCCUGAGAGGGCGACCGGCCACGCUGGGACUGAGACGCGGCCCAGACUCCUACGGGAGGCAGCAGUGGGGAAUAUUGGGCAAUGGAGGAAACUCUGACCCAGCGACGCCGCGUGAGGGAUGAAGGCCUUCGGGUUGUAAACCUCUUUCAGCAGGGAAUAAGCGAAAGUGAAGGUACCUGCAGAAGAAGCACCGGCUAACUAUGUGCCAGCAGCCGCCGUAA